GUCUAUGGCCAUGCCACCCUGACCAAGCCCUAUCCUAUCUGAUCUCGGAAACUAAGCAGGGUCGGGCCUGGUUAGUACUUGGAUGAGAGACCACCUAGGAAGACCAGGUGCUGUAGGCG
rnacentral:rRNA from 1 species